AUGAGAGCAGAAUCAGUCAGGUGUCCAUCAAGCAGCCACUCGCGUAACAAGCCACAUCCUCAUGCAAGCCACUGCCGUUCCAUGGCUCACGAAGAGAACAAAUAAUACUCCGGUUGGAACUUUAUUGAAGCUAUAUGUUAAAAACAUCCUAAUGAUGGAUUCAGUACUUAGUUUGAAAUGUUUCUUCGACCGUUAAUAUCACAUUUUGAAGUUUUUGUCCGAUAUGAAGCUGACCAGAAUUAGCGUUUGGAUAUGUUUACCAAACGCGCUAACAAUUGGACAUAAAUAACUGAUUUUUUCGAACAAAACAAACAUUUAUUGUGGACCUGGAGUUUCUGCUGUGCUUUCUGAUCGAAACCAACAAAGCACCGAGACAGCUUUCCACUGGAGUCAACACCACUCUACCUGCCUGACCGGGCCGGGAGUCAAAGGUCAGAGGUCAAAGGUCGUCACACAUGUCACGUGAUGGGAGUGCGAAACAACAGCAACAGCAACAGCAACAGUAACUUCCUUAACAGCAGAACCCUGAACAGCUUCUACCCCGAAGACAUAAGACUGCUAAAUAGUUAGUUAAAUAGUUAACCAAAUAGCUACCCGGACCAUCUGCAUUGACCCUUUUUGACUCAUCACAUACGCUGCAGCUACUGUUUAAUAUCGUCACUUUAUUCCUAAUGAUAUGUACAUACAGUAUCUACCUCAAUUACCCAGUACCCCUGCACAUUGACUCGGUACUGGUACCCCGUGUAUACACCGUGUAUAUAGCCACGUUAUCGUUACUCAUUGUGUAUUUAUUACAUUUUACAUUUACAUUUAAGUCAUUUAGCAGACGCUCUUAUCCAGAGCGACUUACAAAUUGGGUUACCACUGUGUCUACGUGGUUUCUUUAUUUAUUGUGUAUUCAUUGUGUAUUCAUUGUGUAUUUAUUGUGUAUUUAUUGUGUAUUUAUUGUGUAUUCAUUGUGUAUUCAUUGUGUAUUUAUUGUGUAUUUAUUGUGUAUUCAUUGUGUAUUUAUUGUGCAUUUAUUGUGUAUUCAUUGUGUAUUUAUUGUGUAUUUAUUGUGUAUUCAUUGUGUAUUCAUUGUGCAUUUAUUGUGUAUUUAUUGUGCAUUUAUUGUGUAUUCAUUGUGUAUUUAUUGUGCAUUUAUUGUGUAUUCAUUGUGUAUUUAUUGUGCAUUUAUUGUGUAUUUAUUGUGUAUUCAUUGUGUUUUCAUUGUUACUUGUAUUAUUACAUGUUUUACUUUUCUAUUAUUUCUCUAUUUUCUGUCUCUUUGCGUUGUUGGGAACGGCCCGUGGGUAAACAUUUCACUGUUAGUCUACACCUGUUGUUUACGAAGCCUGUGACAAAUAACAUUUGAUUUGAUUGAAUUUGAUAUGGCAGCUCUCUCAAGGACCUCAAGGGGGGCUAGACCCCUGCUUGUUUUAUUUGUGUAAACAUGGGACAUGAUGAAAGAGGAAGGAGACCUAGUCAGCUGUACAACUGAAUGUAUUCAACUGAAAUGUGUCCUCCGCAUGUAACCCAACCCCUCUGAAGUCUGCUCUGUAACGACAGAAAUGCCUCGAGUUAAUACGCAUGACACAUUGCAAAACUGUAAUGUAAUAUUAUGUUUAUAACUGACCAAUUGUAGUCAUCAUUUUUAUGGCUCAUCUUACCCCAUGGGCAUUGGCUCAACUUAUCCCAUGGCCAUUGGCUCAACUUACCCCAUGGCCAUUGGCUAAACUUAUCCCAUGGCCAUUGGCUCAACUUAUCCCAUGGCCAUUGACUCAACUUACCCCAUGGCCAUUGGCUCAACUUAUCCCAUGGCCAUUGGCUCAACUUAUCCCAUGGCCAUUGACUCAACUUACCCCAUGGCCAUUGGCUCAACUUACCCCAUGGCCAUUGGCUCAACUUAUCCCAUGGCCAUUGGCUCAACUUAUCCCAUGGCCAUUGGCUCAACUUAUCCCAUGGCCAUUGGCUCAACUUAUCCCAUGGCCAUUGGCUCAACUUAUCCCAUGGCCAUUGGCUCAACUUAUCCCAUGGCCAUUGGCUCAACUUAUCCCAUGGCCAUUGGCUCAACUUAUCCCAUGGCCAUUGACUCAACUUACCCCAUGGCCAUUGGCUCAACUUACCCCAUGGCCAUUGGCUCAACUUAUCCCAUGGCCAUUGGCUCAACUUAUCCCAUGGCCAUUGGCUCAACUUAUCCCAUGGCCAUUGGCUCAACUUAUCCCAUGGCCAUUGGCUCAACUUAUCCCAUGGCCAUUGGCUCAACUUAUCCCAUGGCCAUUGGCUCAACUUAUCCCAUGGCCAUUGGCUCAACUUAUCCCAUGGCCAUUCUCUCAACUUAUCCCAUCGCCAUUGGCUCAACUUAUCCCAUCGCCAUUGGCUCAACUUAUCCCAUGGCCAUUGGCUCAACUUACCUCAUGCCAAACAUUUUGACUAUAUUAGCCCAGACAGAUACAAGGAUGCACUUUCAUGCUAGGUUUAGGACCUCAUAUUGAAACUUAUAGACACCUCAACUGAUGUAUAAAACAGUAUUAAAAUAAUCUACAUUGGUUUAGAUACACGCAUAAUAAAUUCAUAACAUAAUACAUUCAUUUGACUUGGUGAAAAUCAGUUUGUUGGACCUAACUUGCUUACCACUGUGUCUACGUGGUUUCUUCCUUCACAGACUUCAUGAAAUUAUGACCUCUUCCUAAAUAUUUGGUCGCAUGGUGAAUUUUGUGUAUGGUUUCCUAGAAACAAGGAGUGGCUCAAUUGACCUAAUCCCACUCUCCCCUAGUGGUGUUUCGGGCAAAACAAUAGAUAGUGUCAGAAAAGGUUUUUCAUAGAUCCGUUCAGGAAAAGACAUUUAGGCUUUCAAACAAUGACCGUAGUCUAUAGUAGUGUAGUCAUUUCUAGUCUUCUUCUAUCGCUGUCUGGUAGCUGUGGACUCUGUCUCUCCCCUCUCCCCCCCUCUCUCUCUCCCUCUCUCUCUCUUUCCCUCUGUAUUUCUCACUUCCUCGCUUUCUCUAUCUCACCCCAUUUCUGUCACGAGGGACCCACCGUCUCU